rnacentral:rRNA from 1 species
GACGAACGCUGGCGGCGUGCUUAACACAUGCAAGUCGAACGGAAAGGCCCUGCUUGCAGGGUGCUCGAGUGGCGAACGGGUGAGUAACACGUGGGUGAUCUGCCCCUUACUUUGGGAUAAGCCUGGGAAACUGGGUCUAAUACUGGAUAGGACCAUGCUGUAGGUGGUGUGGUGGAAAGAUUAGUUUCGGUAAGGGAUGAGCUCGCGGCCUAUCAGCUUGUUGGUGGAGUAAUGGCCUACCAAGGCGUCGACGGGUAGCCGGCCUGAGAGGGUGGACGGCCACAUUGGGACUGAGAUACGGCGCAGACGCCUACGGGAGGCAGCAGUGGGGAAUAGUGCACAAUGGGCGCAAGCCUGAUGCAGCGACGCCGCGUGGGGGAUGACGGCCUUCGGGUUGUAAACUCCUUUCAGCCAUGACGAAGCCCUUGUGGUGACGGUAGUGGUAGAAGAAGCACCGGCUAACUACGUG